CCUACGGGAGGCAGCAGUGGGGAAUAUUGCGCAAUGGGCGAAAGCCUGACGCAGCGACGCCGCGUGAGGGAUGAAGGUCUUCGGAUCGUAAACCUGUGUCAGCAGGGAAGUACGGUCACUGUGCUAAUCAGCAGUGAAUUGACGGUACCUGCAAAGGAAGCACAGGCUAACUCCGUGCCAGCAGCCGCGGUAAUACGGAGGGUGCGAGCGUUAAUCGGAAUGACUGGGCGUAAAGCGCGCGUAGGUGGUAUGUCAAGUCAAGGGUGAAAUCCCCGCGCUCAACGUGGGAACUGCCUUUGAUACUGGAAAACUAGAGUGUGUGUGCGGAUAGUGGAAU
rnacentral:rRNA from 1 species